rnacentral:rRNA from 1 species
CGAGCCGGCGACACCUUCACUGAGUUUCUGAUCUAUCAUGCUGACGACGGUUGGUGCUAUGCCAACCGUGGCGUUAACGGAUAACAGAGAAUCUGGGUUCGAUUCUGGAGAGGCCGCAUGAGAAACGGCGACCACUUCUAAGGAAGGCAGCAGGCACGCAAAUUACCCACUUCGGACACCGAGAGGUAGUGACGAACAAUACCGAUGCGGCGCACUUACGUGUCGCCGUAAUCGGAAUGAGUACAAUUCAAAUCCUUUAACGAGGAUCAACUGGAGGGCAAGCCUGGUGCCAGCAGCCGCGGUAAUUCCAGCUCCAGCAGCGUAUAUUUAUAUUGCUGCGUUUAAAAAGCUCGUAGUUGAAGCGUCAGACGCGGGAGGGCGGACGGCCGCACAGGUCGCUCUCGCCCGACCGAGCCAGGCGCAGAGGGCGCGCGUCGCUUGCACUUUGCCGUGUGAGCGCGCCGCCGCUGCACGUUCACCUUGAAGAAAUUGAACCGCUUAGAGGGGGCGAGCAGCUUGAACAGCUCAGCAUGGUAUGAUGGAACAUGGGCUCGUACUCAUUUUGUUGGUUAGAGAGUUGGCGAGCCAAUGAUUAACAGGGACUGCCGGGGGCAUUCGUACUCGGACGGGAGAGGUGAAAUUCAAGGAUCGUCCGAAGACGCCCUACUGCGAAAGCAUUUGCCAAGAAUGUUUUCAUUAAUCAAGAACGAAAGUCAGAGGUGCGAAGGCGAUCAGAUACCGCCGUAGUUCUGACCGUAAACGAUGCCGACUGGCAAUUGGGCGCACUUCUGUCGAAGUUGCCGCCAGCAGUACUGCCCGGGAAACCAAAGUCAUUGGGUUCCGGGGGGAGUAUGGUUGCAAAGCUGAAACUUAAAGGAAUUGACGGAAGGGCACCACCAGGAGUGGAGCCUGCGGCUUAAUUUGACUCAACACGGGAAACCUCACCCGGCCCGAACACUGUUAUGACAGACAGGUUGAGAGCUCUUUCUCGAUUCAGUGGUUGGUGGUGCAUGGCCGUUCUUAGUUCGUGGAGCGAUCUGUCUGGUUAAUUCCGAUAACGAACGAGACUCUUGCCUGCUAAAUAGACGGCGCCGACUCGGCACGGCGACCGUUUGCUUCUUAGAGGGACAAGCGGCUUUUAGCCGCGUGAAGCCGAGAGCAAUAACAGGUCAGUGAUGCCCUCAGAUGUUCGGGGCCGCACGCGCGCUACACUGUUUGCAUCAGCGUGUUCCUCCCGCGCCGGCUGGCGUGGGCAACCCGUUGAACCGCAAACGUGCUAGGGAUCGGAGAUUGCAAUUGUUCUCCGUGAACGAGGAAUUCCUUGUACUGGCGAGUCAUCAGCUCGCGGGGAAUCUGUCCCUGCCCUUUGUACACACCGCCCGUCGCUACUACCGAUUGAGUGGUUUAGUGAGGCUCACGGACUGC